AACUGCAUAAAGUGACAUUAUCUUAUUGCAACAAUAUUGUAAAAUGAUACAUCUCAUUAUCACAAUUAGUGUGAGGUUUACGCUGUGUUUGAUAUUUGACACUGUCCAGUGUUCACCAGAUCAUGUAUAUUGGAAGAUAUCAGGAAGAGCUGUCAGAGGUGGUCUGGAUUUCUUCCUGGUUUAUUUUGGGUUUGUUUUUUUUUUCUUCUUUAUUUUUUGAUCUUCUACCUUUUCUGUUUCCUGUUUUCUGUAAUUAUUUGUUUCUUCCUGCAUUGCUGAGGGAGGACACUUCACCUUGGGAGCAGAUUUCUGCCUGUCCUUAAGAGGAGACUCAAAGGAAGAGGGAAUACUUCUGAAAGGUUUCAUGUGGGGUUUUGUUUUGGAAGAAGCAAUGAAUACUUGGUCUCUUUCCAACUUCUCUACACCACUCGUGAUUUUGCACAUCUUUUUAGUCAUCCCUUUUUCAGACUAGAGAAAAAAUAUGUAUUGGGCAAGUUUAAGAAAAAAAACAAAAACAAAGCAAUUUUUAAGACUUUGAGAAAACACUACUGCUUAUGAAAGUCUCACCAUCCAUUCUGCAGAAUGAAGGGCAGUAUUCUGCUUUCCUCCAGGAUUAAUAGAUGGCUGAGAUGUCUGAUUCUGUUUGUUAUGCCUUUAUCAUCACUCGCAAGGUGCCUGCUCUUUUCCCAGGCUGAUGCAUUUGCUUACAUGUGCACCCUGAUGAUUUCACCCAAGUCAGCAUUGUUUCUAGAAUUAACAAACCUGGAACCAAAGCACAUGUCU